AUAAUUGUCAGCUAAGUGGCGCACGGGUGAGUAAUGUAUAGAUAACCUGCCCUUAAGAAAGGAAUAACAGUUGGAAACGACUGCUAAUGCCCUAUAUGCCUUUAAUACAUAAGUAUGCAAGGGAAACGCUUUAGUGCUUAAGGAUGGGUCUGUAUGGUAUCAGCUUGUUGGUGAGGUAAUGGCUCACCAAGGCUAUGACGCCUAACUGGUUUGAGAGGAUGAUCAGUCACACUGGAACUGAGACACGGUCCAGACUCCUACGGGAGGCAGCAGUGGGGAAUAUUGCACAAUGGACGAAAGUCUGAUGCAGCAACGCCGCGUGGAGGAUGACACAUUUCGGUGCGUAAACUCCUUUUAUAUAGGAAGAUAAUGACGGUACUAUAUGAAUAAGCACCGGCUAACUCCGUGCCAGCAGCCGCGGCAAUACGGAGGGUGCAAGCGUUACUCGGAAUCACUGGGCGUAAAGAGCGUGUAGGCGGGUAUAUAAGUCAGAAGUGAAAUCCAAUAGCUCAACUAUUGAACUGCUUUUGAAACUGUAUACCUAGAAUGUGGGAGAGGUAGAUGGAAUUUCUGGUGUAGGGGUAAAAUCCGUAGAGAUCAGAAGGAAUACCGAUUGCGAAGGCGAUCUACUGGAACAUUAUUGACGCUGAGACGCGAAAGCGUGGGGAGCAAACAGGAUUAGAUACCCUGGUAGUCCACGCCCUAAACGAUGUACACUAGUUGUUGUGAGGCUCGACCUUGCAGUAAUGCAGUUAACACAUUAAGUGUACCGCCUGGGGAGUACGGUCGCAAGAUUAAAA
rnacentral:rRNA from 1 species